UGAAAGAAUCUGUUAAGCUCAGGAGGGAUAGCGCCAUAGAAUGUCUUCUUUUUUUGGUUCCAUUUUAUUGAUUGAUCUUCUCUUGCGCUAUCCAUCCUGAGUUUCAUGGCUUCUUCAU
rnacentral:pre_miRNA from 14 species